AAUAUUUUGUUUGCGAUUUUUUUUUUUUUUUUGAGAGAUAGUUAACAUGCUACCCGCUUCGUUUAUUUCAUUUAGAAAUAAACUUAGAUGGAAAUGUGAAUCAACUAAGAUUUGAACUUGAGUCUUUCACUAUUGAUUUACUCGAAUAUUUUGUUUGUGAUUUUUUUUUUUUUGAGAGAUAUGACGUUAUCCGCCUCGUUUAUUUUAUUUAGAAAUAAACUUAGCUGGAAAUGUGAAUCAACUAGAAUUCAAACUUAGGUAUCGGGUACCAACCACCAAACCCUUUGCCACUUGCUUUAGGAACGGUCGGUUAUAAAAUAUUUUUUAUUAUUUUCCUUUAA
rnacentral:lncRNA from 1 species